GAAUAAAAAAAGAAUAGAGAGAACGAAUACAUUUUCGCAAUCUCUGCAAUACAUGUAUGUAUAUAAAAGUUUACACUAUAAUGUGACUGCACAGUAGUAAAUGUAAACCUACAAUACGAAACUACCACGCAGUUGUCGCUUCAACUAAACUCCAAACAGCGCAUGCAUCACUCAGUCAUCUCUAUAAAGAUUACGCCAAGCUCCUCACAGCGAUAGCCCGUUCGCGGAGCUCUCUUAUGGGCUCUUAUACAUGUAUAUUACCGAGAGUGUAAUGAAGGUAUCACUCUGGCAAGGAGUUCGUUCCAACAUUUGUUUACACACAGGAUAAUGUAACUAGUUUUCAUACGAGUUUUAUUUUGCUUGUUUGUCAAAUCAAAUAUCGACGAUGCCAUGCAGAGUGACGUCCCUUUGUGUUGACACCAUGUCAGAGCCACGACUGAAGAGAUUUUAUCUUUCCAGAGAAGAAACUGAACGGUUCAUAAGUUUUUAUUUAUCCCAGGAAUGCCUAUGGAAUGACCUACAUGUCACCUAUUCCAAACGGGACAAUUACUAGCGGCGCAGCAGAUGUCCUGCCACGGGAGAGAAAUGACAGUCGAGUUCGGUCACACUGACCUAGCAGACGACAAUUGGAACAAGUUGCUGCAAAACUUGCCAGUCUACGGACUUACGUACGUAUGGCCGUGAGCUACGUAAGAUCACUCAGUCGGAGUGGAGCUGGAGUUGAUGAUGUUUACCAUGGGAGAUCUUCGUAGUCCUGGACCCCACCUUGAGAUGGCAUGUUCAGCAAAGACCUUCUGCUAACAAUCUGGUAAUAGUCAGUGAUGUGGUUGUCUCCCUAAGUUAUCAUUUCAGGGUGCAGGCUAAAACGUCACCGAUUUCACUGGUGAAAUGGCACCUCAUUUGGCGAAAACGGCUACUAUCUCCCGGCAAAAAUGGUACCUCUAUUUUUAAUAGCAAUAAUAAAACUUUAGUCAGUAGUAUAGAUGCUUCUGAUUAGAAACUGACAUGAAAGUUCAUGGUACCAAUCAUCUCUUCUGUGAUGGAAUCUACGCAUCUUAAAAAGGAGAAAGGGAAGUCUUCUUCAGUCAGGCAAAUUUCUCUUUAACGGGCGACAGAAAGUCUGGUACCACAAACACGAUGGCUCCACUGGUCACACGCAGUUGUCAUAUGAUACAGCAUGUUGAUUUUUUCUGACAUUCUUCUCGCAUGCAACAAAUUGAAAGGCCAUUGUGAAUAGUUGUGAUCUGAUUGUAAAGCCUCUUAAAUACAGUUUCAGCUUGACAUUGAGUUAAUUUGAGUAAAGGUUCUUACAAGUUCAAAGCAUAUGAUGUUUUCACAGUAAGUUUAGUUGCACCUCCCAAUCAUAGUUGGUGAGUAAAUUGGAGUAGAGGCUAAUUUCUAAUGAAAACUUGUUUUAACAUUUCACAAUUAUUUCUGUUUGGAAGUGACAAUGUGAGUUUCAUUUCAGUUAUUUCAGUAAAAAAUAAUAAUGCCAUUUUCACAAGGCAGUAUUACCUGUAUGCAGGUUAAAACCGGCACCUCAGCAAAACGUCAUCGAUUUCAUCUGGUGAAAGUUAUGCUGCCGGUAUUAUUAUAUGCCUUGAAAUUUUGCACCAAGGCUACGAUUAUAAUACAUCUAUGUUGCUUAUGGUUUUCUGUUUCUGAGCUUUGAUUUAUUUGAAUAAAUAGUGAAGGUAACCA
rnacentral:lncRNA from 1 species